rnacentral:rRNA from 1 species
UAAUAGUGGGGGAUUAUGGGACAAAGAAUAAAUCCACUUAGUUUUAGAAUGGAUACCAUAACCUCGAACGGGUGAGUAACACAUAAGAACCUGCCCUUGGGAGAGGAACAACAGCUGGAAACGACUGCUAAUACCCCAUAAGCUGAGGAGAAAAAUGAGGAAUCCACCCGAGGAGGGGCUCGCAUCUGAUUAUCUUGUUAGUGAGGCAAUAACUUACCAAGGCAAUGAUCAGUAGCUGUUUCGAGAGGAUGAUUAGCGACACUAGGAUUGAGACACGGCCUAGACUCCUAUGGGAGGCAGCAGUAGGGAAUUUUCCACAAUGGGCAAAAUCCUGACGGAGCAAUACCGCAUGGAGGUAGAAGGACCACGGGUCGUGAACUUGUUUUCUCGAUGAAGAAGCAAUGAUGGUAUCUGGGGAAUAAGCAUUGACUAACUCUAUGCUAGCAGCCGUGGUAAUACAGUGGAUGCAAGCAUUAUCCAAUAUGAUUGGGCGUAGAGCAUCUAUAGGUGGCUUUUUAAGUCUGUCGUCAAAUCCCAAGGCUCAACCCUGGAUAGGCGGUGGAAACUACCAAGCUGGUUGGGCAGAGGGAAUUUUUGGUGGAGCGGUGAAAUACAUAGAGAAUGGAAAGAACACCAUCGAUGAAAUCACUCUGCUGGGCCGACACUGAUACUGAGAGACGAAAGGUAGGGGAAUGAAUGGGAUUAGAUACCCCAGUACUCCUAGCCAUAAAUGAUGGAUACUAGGCUAUCUGUGUAUCGACCCAUGCAGUGUUAUAGUAACGCAUUAAGUAUCCCACCUGGGGAGUACGUUUACAAGAAUGAAACUCCAAGAAAUUGAUGGGGGUCCGCACAAACAGUGGAGUAUGUGGUUUAAUUCAAUGAAAAACAAAGAAACUUACCAGGUAUUGACAUGCUGUGAAUCCUCUUAAAAGAGAAGGGUGACUUUGGGAAAGCAGACACAGGUGGUGCAUGGCUGUCGUCAGAUCGUGUCGUAAGGUAUUGAGUUAAGUCUCACAACGAGUGCGACCCUCGUGUUUAGUUGGCAUCGUUGAGUUUGGAACCCUGAACAGACUACCAGUGAUAAGCCGGAGGAAGAUGAGGAUGAUGUCAAGUCAUCAUGCCCCUUAUGCCCUAGGCGACACACAUGCUAUAAUGGCUAGGACAAAGGGUCGCAAUCCUGCGAGGGUGAGCUAAACCCAAAAACCCAUCUUCAGUUCGAAUUAUAGGUUUAACUCUCCUGCAUAAAUCCAAAAUUACUAGUAAUUGCCGGUCAGCCAUACGGCAGUGAAUUCAUUCCCGGUCCUUAUACACACCGCCUGUCACACUAUGGGAGCUUGUCAUGCUCGAAGUCGUUACCUUAACGCCAAGGAGGGGUAUGCCAAAGGCAGGGCUAGUGACUGGAGUAAAGUCAUAACAAGGUAGCCGUAUUGGAAGGUGCGACUG